GUACUCGCUUCGGCGGUACAUAUACUAAAGUUGGAACGAUACAGAGAAGAUUAGCAUGGCCCCUGCGCAAAGAUGACAAUAAAAAAAAAAAAAAAAUGGAUAAGGCGU